rnacentral:lncRNA from 1 species
AUGAAUAAAGCUAGGGGAGGUGAUGGAAUUCCAGUGGAGCUAUUUAAAAUCCUGAAAUAUGAUGCUGUGAAAGUGCUGAACUCAAUAUGCCAGCAAAAUUGGAAAACUCAGCAGUGGCCACAGGACUGGAAAAGGUCAGAUUUCAUUCCAAUCACAAAGAAAGGAAAUGCCAAAAAAUGCUCAAACUACCGCACAAUGGCACUCAUCUCACAUGCUAGUAAAGUAGUGCUCAAAAUUCUCCAAGCCAGGCUUCAGCAAUACGUGAACCGUGAAAUUCCAGAUGUUCAAGCUGGUUUUAGAAAAGGCAGAAGAACAAGAAAUCAAAUCGCUAACAUCCACUGGAUCAUUGAAAAAGCAAGAGAGUUCCAGAAAAAUAUCUAUUUCUGCUUUAUUGACUAUACCAAAGCCUUUGACUAUGUGGACCACAAUAAACUGUGGAAAAUUCUGAGAGAGAUGGGAAUACCAGACUACCUGACCUGCCUCUUGAGAAACCUAUACGCAGGUCAGGAAGCAACAGUUAGAACUGGACAUGGAACAACAGACUGGUUGCAAAUAGGAAAAGGAGUACGUCAAGGCUGUAUAUUGUCACCCUGCUUAUUUAACUUCUAUGCAGAGUACAUCAUGAGAAACGCUGGACUGGAAGAAGCACAAGCUGGAAUCAAGAUUGCCGGGAGAAAUAUCAAUAACCUCAGAGAUGCAGAUGACACCACCCUUAUGGCAGAAAGUGAAGACAAACUAAAAAGCCUCUUGAUGAAAGUGAAAGAGGAGAGUGAAAAAGUUGGCUUAAAGCUCAACAUUCAGAAAAUGAAGAUCAUGUCAUCUGGUCCCAUCACUUCAUGGGAAGUAGAUGGGGAAACAGUGGAAACAGUGUCAGACUUUAUUUUUCUGGGCUCCAAAAUCACUGCAGAUGGUGACUGCAGUCAUGAACUUAAAAGACGGUUACUCCUUGGAAGGAAAGUUAUGACCAACCUAGAUAGCAUAUUCAAAAGCAGAGAUAUUCCUUUGCCAACAAAUGUCCAUCUAGUCACGGCUAUGGUUUUUCCAGUGGUCAUGUGUGGAUGUGAGACUUGGACUGUCAAGAAAGCUGAGCACCGAAGAAUUGUUGCUUUUGAACUGUGGUGUUGGAAAAGACUCUUGAGAGUCCCUAGGACUGCAAGGAGAUCCAACCAGUCCAUUCUAAAGGAGAUCAGUCCUGGGUGUUGUUUGGAAGGACUGAUGCUAAAGCUGAAACUCCAGUACUUUGGCCACCUUAUGUGA